rnacentral:lncRNA from 1 species
CGAGAGCCCUGACAGGGACCUGAAGACACUGUGUUUCUCACAAGUGCAGCUGAUAAAGAGUAGCAGCUUGUGUCUUCACUGCAGUCUUCAUUCAGGAGGACCAGGAAGGAGCAGAGCAGCACUGACAUCUGCCAGUCUCUGGAGUGGGGUCAAGUGGCUUAAAAAAGGCAUAGGUGUGACCUAAGGCCUGAUCAUCCUGCUGGGGGCUCUCCUUGUGAAGACUGCAUCUUAGGGGACAGCCAGCCAUCUCAUUCCUCAAGGAUGUGCUUUCAUGGGUGCUGCUGGGAGUAUCACCAUUGUCAUUGUUAUUGGCAACCAUUUACAAGCAUUUACCUGCUGUGUGCCAGGGAAGGAUCAAUGCAGGAAUCUGUGAUUAAACUAGACAUCUCUGGCAGUAAGAAGAGCUGGAAGAACUCACAGGCUCCGGUAGCCACCCUACAACCGGAAGACAGAGACCUGACAAUGUAUUGUCAGAUGAUGGAUUAGCUGAGCCUGGGAAAGAGAGCUGAGUGCGCAGCUCCCUCCCUGUCUCCCAGGCGACAAAGCCGCUGGAUGACCCCACCAACGAUAAUGAGAUGAAAAUGAAGAGCACUGCAGUAUAAUAAGCAUGAUAAAAAUAGAGACAUUGCUAAAUAACAGGGCAGCCAUUGGUGAAGAGCAGGAGAAAGAGCCAAGCCCAGAGGAGGUGGACAAGGCCUCCCUGUGUGGUCUUCAAGCCAGACCCCCUACGUUGUUGCUAUUGCUCAACCAGGGCAUAGAUGGUUUUGAGUCCCUAGUGUGGCAAAGACAUCAGAGAGGGGUGAGAGGGUGGGUCUAAGUGAAAACCCCCAGCAGGCUGUAUCCUGGUCACUGUGGCUCUGACCUCCAUCAGGGGAGGGACAAAGGUGGUCAGCAUACAUGCUGAUGGAGGUUUUGAGUUACGGUCUUUAGUAGGAACUUCUUGCCUGCCAAUGAGUAUCAGGAAAUGGUCUGAGUUAAUGCACCAAAGUUUUUCAGAGCAUUGCACCUCUCAUCUAUAUAGUGCAGAGUGGAAGAAGCCUGUUAAUCAUGCUUUUGCUUGUGUUUUUGUUUAGUUGGUUGUUUGGAGUAUCUGCCAGGAAAGGCAGCCGCUCCUAGGGAGGGAGGAACCUGGGUGCUACAGGGAUUGCUGCCUGUGAAGCUUUCUGGCACCAAGUCCCUCCGCACUUUUUGUUUUUUAUUUUUUAAAUAAUUAAGAUUUUUGAAUAAAUAAUACAUGCAUAGAGUACAAAAUUUAAAAGGAACAAAAAAGGUGCAGUAGAUAUAAAUAUCACUUCCUCUUCUCCCCCUACUCCCAGCCACCCAGUUUCCUUCCCUUGAGGCAACCACUGUUAUCAGUUUCUUCUGCAGUUUUCCAGAGAUAUUCUAAGUGUAAAUAAGUACAUGUACCCCACCCUCAAAACAUGCUUACCCGUUGUGUUUUCAAAAACGAAAAUGCUAAGUUACUGUAUCAAUGAGAGUCCUGACAGAAAACAGAUGGUGUAAACAAAGUGAGUCAUUUGAGUAGAGUUUCAUAUAUGGACUGUCUACCAAGGACAGGGAAAAGCCCAAGGUCAGAGGUCAGCAACAGUUGAAUGAGAGGGCACAGUGACAUAGUGUGAGCAACACGGCCAGCUGAGGAGCAUUCCAGGGCGGGCAGGGCAUAAUCACCUGUCCUUCCUCACUUCCCUCUGAUCUUUUGCUGCAGCAUCUCAUGGGCUGAACUCAACCUGAGC